GUGCUGAGCGAUAUCCCACGUGCAGUAGCCAGGGCCUGGUGUUAGAGGGACUGGGAUUUAUUUCUCCUUCCAGACAGGAUCUCCUGGGGACUCUAAAUGGUAAAAGCAGUGAACUUCCAUAUGGGUUAGAGAAGGCCAUAAGAAAAUCUCUGCAUAUGAAUUUUUUUUUUUUUUUUUUUGGCCACGAGCCCCUCACCUUGCUUUGAACUCUGCUUCCUCUCAUUUGCCUGCUGAAUCUGGACGCCAUGAUCAAUAAUGGAUCUGAGGCCCCGAAAUGAAAAGGAAGAAAUAACAAUAUCUGUGAUUUAACAUGUGUAAUGGCUAUUCCUGAUUGUCAACUUAACUAUAUCUGGAAUGAACUACAAUCCAGAAUUGGAGGGCACACCUGUGAUCCAGAUCUUGAGGAUGGGAGACACAAGUUUCUGACCUGGAUCUUGGGAUGGAGAUCUUGAGGAUAGUGGCCAUGAAAAGUUUAGGCCCAGGCAAGAUAGUACAGGACUUUAAUCCCAGGAGACUGAGGUAAGAAGAUCUCUGAGUUCAAGGCACUGGCUGGUCCAAUCCUUCGGCUAGAAACCAACAUCAGGACAUUGGAACAAAGAAGAUUCACUCUUCUCACCUUACUUGCAUUUACUUGCCAACACACCAUGUUGGAACUUCUAUAGAAGAGCAACUGAUACAACUAGCCUCAUGGGACUGAAUAACUACCAGAUUUUGGAUUUCCCAUCCACAGCUGCCUAUUGUUGGGUUAGUUGGACUACAGAGUGUAAGUUAUUAGAACUAAUUCCCUAAAUGCAUAGGGACAUUACAUACUUUCUGUGACUCUAGAGAACCCAAAUACACUGAGUAGCUGCUGUGGGUUACAAACAGUUCGUAGGAUGUCACAUAAUGUAGCUCAUUUCACUCCACUAAUAGACUCACGAAGAUGGUUGCCAUUUAAUCCAACACUGGAGGCUCAAGUUUACACAGCCUUCCAAAAGUUAUACCAGCCCUAGAUAGCAACAGUCAUAUUUCUAAAACCAAAGCAAAAAAUCUCCCAUACAUACCCUGCCUUUUAUGUUCUUUGUUAUAUGACAAAAGAAAUUUUAAAAUCUAAUUCUGUUUUAAUUAGAAUUUUAUGUGUGGGAUAUGUAUUUAUAUCAUUUUUACCCCUCAGUCUUCUCCACAAAUCUUCUGAUGUCUCCUCACAACUCCCUCUUAAGUUCAUAACAUUUUCUAUUAUUUCAAAAUCAUUAUUGCUUCAAAUGUAGAUAAAGAUACCUACAGAGUCCAUUUAGUGUGUUUAGGGUUUACCACUUGGGACUGGAUAAUCUAUCCUCAGCUCAUCCCUUGAGAAAGUGGGUUCCUCUCCUCAUCAGCCAUUGCCUGUAGGUUUCAUCUAGGGAAUGACUACAGGAUUCUUGAACGGCUCCUCGAGGUUUCCCAUUACCAGUGCUUCCAUCAUUUGGUUUUUACAUUUCAACAUUUCUGUAGUCUUUCUGAACAGUUCAUAUGUAAGCACACACACACAUGCAUGCACACAUGUGCACACACACACACUCAGGAUGCUACUACGUGAACAAUUUGACUUUAGUAAUACUGUCAUCUCUCAACACAAACUUGCUGCCCCGAAAUAUGAAUAUGUGGAACCUGUUCUUCUAGCUGGUGUUCCAUAAUCUGUAUCUUUUUAUAUUGGACAUAUAUAAGUACUUCUCGGUCAGUAUUCUCUUUGUUGCCUAGAUGCUGACAUCAUUACUGCAGAGAAAUAAAUAUAAGCUAGAAAGCAAUCAGUCUAAUUGAUACCGACAGUCAAUUAGUAUUUCAAAGGGACCGGCUUGUUGCUUUACAGAUAGAGCACAUGAAAGAUUCUAGGCUGUUGUUAUUUUGUGCAGAGCUAUAUAUGUUGUGGGAUAGAGUCUUCAGGAACUAAGCAAGUUUCUCAAUGGUUGCUAAAUGGGAUGGUUGCAUUGUGGGAAACAAUGUUAUCAUGUCAUUUGAACCUAUUAGCUUGCCCAUUCUAAAACUUCAGACCCACUCUUUCUAAAGCUUCAGACUAAACACACUCUGGCUCUGUUCAGGUCAAAAGUCUUCUUAAUCUCUGUGUUAUGCUGAUCAAACCUCCAACUGUCAGCUCAAAUCAUUUCCAAAAGGCUAGUUCUAUUUGUGAUUAAUUAAAAUUUCUUCCUGAUUGCAUACAGUUCUUUUAAAUGUAUAAUCCCUUUAUUGUGUAGCGAAUUGAGAAUAUGGUCUUAAAUUAAAAACAAAUAUUCAUGUGGGUCUCUUGGUAUAAUGCAAGUCACAAAUUUCAGUGAAAAUAAAUUUAAAUAUAU
rnacentral:lncRNA from 1 species